CAAAGCCACAAUGCCACUGGAUUUUUGCCAAAAGAACAAAGGUAAUGAGUAUUGUUGUCUUCCUUUAGAAGAAAUGAAUUUGCACUAAUGAAUUUAUACCGGUUCAUCUCUGCAGGGCCAGUGUAUAUUCAUAAUCCUGAAAGAUGGCUGCCUGGGCCAUGAGAACACAAAUCAGAUCACUGAACAGAGAAAAGUACCUUCGAGAUUCAAUCUCUUCUAAAAUCCACUGAGUUUUUUCAUCUACUGAGAAGUUUCCACUUGUGGAUGUCUCAUCUUUGCCUGUUAAUAAAUAAAAUUGACUUCAUACUACAAAUUCUCAAAAGAAAAAAGUAAAAUGCUUUGAAAAUAAAGGUAAUAUCAUGGAUGUAUAAACAUAUGCAUAUGUAAAUACAUAAAUAUGCUUAAAUUUUGCAAUUAAUUAUGCAAUGACAUUUCAAUGUUAACUCUUUAUUGCAAUAUUAACAGGCAUGAGGUUCAUUAGCCUAAAAAUGUACUUUGGCUGGUGUACUUUUGCUGUUGUUGAGAACAGCAACAAAGUUCUACCACAAAGUUUCGUUUUCUCAUAUUCUUUUCCAGUAGUUUCUACCAGUUUUUUUCCAUAGCCAAAUGCAAGAAAUAUUGGCUUUGCCAAUACAGGAGUCCCCCCUAAUCUGCAGGGGACACCUUCUAAGAACCCCAGUCGAUGCCUGAAACUGCAUAUAGCACCAAACCCUAUUUGUUUUUUCCUCUAUAUACACACCUAUGAUAAAGUUUAAUUUAUAAAUUAGGCACUGUAAGAGACUAACAAUAGCAAUAAAGUAGAACAAUGAAAAUAAUAUAUUGUAAGUUAUACGAAUGUUGGGUAUCUCUCUCUCAAAAUAUCUUAUUGUACUGUACUUAUUCAUUUUUGGACCAUUGUUGACUGAAACUGUGGAAAGCAAAACUGCAGAUUAGAGGGAUUACUGUAUUCUAUUCAUAUUAUUUCUUAUUUUAAUACGUAAUACCAUUAUUUAUGAUCCACUAAGGGUUGUGUGUUUCACUGAAAGUCACUUUGCCUUUGCAUUUACUAGCUACUUGGUUAUGGUCUUUCACUAUCUCCUGAUAGCACCUUAAUCAAAGGAAGAUAUCUCUGAAAGUACAAAAUCAAUGCGAAAAAAAAAAGAGGAGGCAUCCGUAUUUUAUAUAAUGAGAUCUUAAAAUCUGUAUUGAAACUCACCAGAACCAAUCUGUAAAAGGGCUCUGAAACUAUGAAGUUAGACUUCUGACAGAGCCUCCAGAAUUAUGUGAACUUGUCUCAAAACAUUCUCUAAAUGGCUAUGUACAUAUUCUGUCUGAAAUAGUAAAUAACUGGAAGUC
rnacentral:lncRNA from 1 species